UCCUGGGUGGUGCAAAUGGUUAACACGCUGGGCUGCUAACUGAAAUAUUGGAGGUUCGAGUCCACCCUGAGGAA
rnacentral:tRNA from 1 species